rnacentral:lncRNA from 1 species
CUCCUGUCCACUCAUGAAAAUAUCUUUUUUUCUUUCAGGAUUUUAAUUUGCCUUCCUUCAACACAACAGAAUGAGCGUACCAGCAUUUCCUCAGGACACACCUGUGCACCAUGGCGGAGGAGCCCAUCUUGAGGAAGGCAGGUUUUGCACACAGGUGGUGAUUGGGAGGCCUCAACAGGCUCCUGACCAACCAAAUAAAGGUGGCUUUUCUGCAUUCCUGUAGAGAUCGUGUACACAACAGGGCUGCCAAGUGAGAAGAAAAGGCUUAGGCAGAAAAUACCACGCUUUCGAGAACAGUGUGUGUGUGUGUGUGUGUGUGUGUGUGUGUGUGUGUGUGUGAGAGAUUGGGCUUUCAACAACUGUUUGAGUGAUUGGCAAAUAAAGUGCAUU